rnacentral:lncRNA from 1 species
AUAUAUAUAAUAAAUAAAGAUUUAAAUAAAUAAAAAUCUAAAAAAAAAUAAAUUAAUAUUUUAAUUUUUUUUCGAAUUAAACAAUUUCGAAAUUAAAACCCUAAACCCUAAAACUCAACUCUGAACCCUAAACCAUCAAUCUUAAACCCUAUUUUUUUUUUGAAAUACGAACCCUAAACCAUCAAUCCUAAACCCUAUUUUUUUUUGAAAUAAGAACCCUAAACCCUAAAACGUCAACUCUAAACCCUAAACCCCGAAACACCAACUUUAAACUCCGAAACAUCAACUCUAAACUCUAAACCCUAAACCUUCAACUCUAAACCCUAAAACAUCAACUUUAAACCCUAAACCCUAAACUUCUACUCUAAACCCUAAACCAUCAACACUUAACCCUAAACUAUCAACACUAAACCCUAAACCCUAAAAAGUAAACUCUAAACCCUAAACCCUAAAAAAUUAACCCUAAACCCUAAAAAAUUAACCC